ACGCACGCUGGCGGCGUGCUUAACACAUGCAAGUCGAACGCUGAAGCUUGGUGUUUGCCCUGGGUGGAUGAGUGGCGAACGGGUGAGUAAUACGUGAGUAACCUGCCCUUGACUCUGGGAUAAGCCUGGGAAACUGGGUCUAAUACUGGAUACGACAUGUCACCGCAUGGUGGUGUGUGGAAAGGGUUUUACUGGUUUUGGAUGGGCUCACGGCCUAUCAGCUUGUUGGUGGGGUAAUGGCUCACCAAGGCGACGACGGGUAGCCGGCCUGAGAGGGUGACCGGCCACACUGGGACUGAGACACGGCCCAGACUCCUACGGGAGGCAGCAGUGGGGAAUACUGCACAAUGGGCGGAAGCCUGAUGCAGCGACGCCGCGUGAGGGAUGACGGCCUUCGGGUUGUAAACCUCUUUCAGCACGGAAGAAGCGAAAGUGACGGUACGUGCAGAAGAAGCGCCGGCUAACUACGUG
rnacentral:rRNA from 1 species